rnacentral:rRNA from 2 species
CUUAGCGGCGAAUGGGUGAGUAACACGUACUCAACGUACCCUUUAGAUUGGGAUAGCAAGUGGAAACAUUUGAUAAUACCAAAUACCUAUCAUUUUCGCAUGAAGAUGAUACAAAAGGUCCGUUUGGACCGCUAAAGGAUCGGGGUGCGCAACAUUAGCUAGUUGGUGAGGUAAAGGCCCACCAAGGCGAUGAUGUUUAGCGGGGUUGAGAGACUGAUCCGCCACACUGGGACUGAGAUACGGCCCAGACUCCUACGGGAGGCAGCAGUAGGGAAUAUUCCACAAUGAGCGAAAGCUUGAUGGAGCGACACAGCGUGCAGGAUGAAGGUCCUAUGGAUUGUAAACUGCUGUGGUAAGGGAAGAAAAAACAGUAUAGGAAAUGAUAUUGUUCUGACGGUACCUUAUUAGAAAGCAACGGCUAACUAUGUGCCAGCAGCCGCGGUAAUACAUAGGUUGCAAGCGUUAUCCGGAAUUAUUGGGCGUAAAGCGUCUGUAGGUUGUUUGUUAAGUCUGGCGUCAAAAUUUGGGGCUCAACCCCAAACCGCGUUGGAUACUGGCAAGCUAGAGUUAUGUAGAGGUAAGCGGAAUUCCUUGUGAAGCGGUGAAAUGCGUAGAUAUAAGGAAGAACACCAAUUUGGCGAAGGCAGCUUACUGGACAUAUACUGACACUGAGAGACGAAAGCGUGGGGAGCAAACAGGAUUAGAUACCCUGGUAGUCCACGCCCUAAACGAUGAUCAUUAGCUGAUGGGGAACUCAUCGGCGCAGCUAACGCAUUAAAUGAUCCGCCUGAGUAGUACGUUCGCAAGAAUAAAACUUAAAGGAAUUGACGGGGAUCCGCACAAGCGGUGGAGCAUGUGGUUUAAUUUGAAGAUACGCGUAGAACCUUACCCACUUUUGACAUCUUCCGCAAAGCUAUGGAGACAUAGU